rnacentral:rRNA from 1 species
UGGGGAAUCUUGCGCAAUGGGCGAAAGCCUGACGCAGCCAUGCCGCGUGAAUGAUGAAGGUCUUAGGAUUGUAAAAUUCUUUCACCGGGGACGAUAAUGACGGUACCCGGAGAAGAAGCCCCGGCUAACUUCGUGCCAGCAGCCGCGGUAAUACGAAGGGGGCUAGCGUUGCUCGGAAUUACUGGGCGUAAAGGGCGCGUAGGCGGAUCGUUAAGUCAGAGGUGAAAUCCCAGGGCUCAACCCUGGAACUGCCUUUGAUACUGGCGAUCUUGAGUAUGAGAGAGGUAUGUGGAACUCCGAGUGUAGAGGUGAAAUUCGUAGAUAUUCGGAAGAACACCAGUGGCGAAGGCGACAUACUGGCUCAUUACUGACGCUGAGGCGCGAAAGCGUGGGGAGCAAA